rnacentral:rRNA from 1 species
UAAUACGUAGGGAGCAAGCGUUGUCCGGAAUCAUUGGGCGUAAAGCGCGCGUAGGCGGCCCUGUAAGUCCGUUGUGAAAGUCAAAGGCUCAACCUUUGAAAGCCGAUGGAUACUGCAGGGCUAGAGUCCGGAAGAGGCGAGUGGAAUUCCUGGUGUAGCGGUGGAAUGCGCAGAUAUCAGGAGGAACACCAAUAGCGAAGGCAGCUCGCUGGGACGGUACUGACGCUAAGGCGCGAAAGCGUGGGGAGCGAACAGGAUUAGAUACCCUGGUAGUCCACGCCGUAAACGAUGGGCACUAGGUGUGGGAGGUGUCGACUCCUCCCGUGCCGUCGCUAACGCACUAAGUGCCCCGCCUGGGGAGUACGGCCGCAAGGCUA